rnacentral:rRNA from 1 species
UACGUAGGUGGCAAGCGUUGUCCGGAUUUACUGGGCGUAAAGGGCGUGCAGGCGGUCUGUUAAGUCUAGGGUGAAAGCUCCCGGCUCAACUGGGAGAGGUCCUUGGAUACUGGCGGACUUGAGGGAGGCAGAGGAAAGUGGAAUUCCCGGUGUAGUGGUGAUAUGCGUAGAUAUCGGGAGGAACACCAGUGGCGAAGGCGGCUUUCUGGGCCUUACCUGACGCUGAGACGGCGAAAGCGUGG